UACGUAGGGUGCAAGCGUUGUCCGGAAUUAUUGGGCGUAAAGAGCUCGUAGGCGGUCUGUCGCGUCUGCUGUGAAAACUCAGGGCUUAACCCUGAGCUUGCAGUGGGUACGGGCAGACUAGAGUGCGGUAGGGGAGACUAGAAUUCCUGGUGUAGCGGUGAAAUGCGCAGAUAUCAGGAGGAACACCGGUGGCGAAGGCGGGUCUCUGGGCCGUAACUGACGCUGAGGAGCGAAAGCAUGGGGGAGCGAACAGG
rnacentral:rRNA from 1 species